GUGUGCGCAUGCGCCGACAUGGCCUCAAACAACUAUACCCAACAAGCAACCCAAAGCUGUGGGGCUUACCCCACCCAGCCUGGACAGGGCUAUUCCAGCAAAGCAAUCAGCCCUAUGGACAGCAGAGUUACAGUCAGUCAGCGGACACUUCAGGCUAUGGCCAGAGCAGCUAAGGUUCUUAUGGACAGACCCAGAAGAGGUAUAGCACUCAGCCAGCUCCCCAGGGAUAUGGCUCAGCGGGUGGGUAUGGCGGCCAGAGUUCUCAAUCUUCUUACGGGUUGCAGUCCUCCUACCCUGGCUAUGGCCAGCGGCCAGCCCCUAGCAGCACCUCGGGAAGUUAACAGUAGCAGUCCUCAGAGCAGCAACUAUGGGCAGCCCCAGGUUAGGGGAUAUGGUCAGCAGUCUGGCUAUGGUGGACAGCAGCAAAGCUCCUAUAAUCCUCCUCAGGGCUACGGACAGCAGAACCAGUACAACAGUAACGGUGGAGGUGGCGGAUGUAACAACGGUCAAGAUCAAUCCCCCAUGAGCGGUGGUGGCAGUGACUACGGGGGAGGCCAGCAGGACUGAGGGGACUGCGGCCCGGCAGGGGGUGGUUACAACCACAGCAGUGGUGGCUAUGAACCCAGAGGUUGUGGAGGUGGCUGUGGAGGCAGAGGAGGCAUGGGAGGAAGUGACCGUGGUGGCUUCAAUAAAUUUGGUGGCCCUCAGGACCAAGGAUCACAUCAUGACUCUGAACAGGAUAAUUCAGACAAUACCAUCUUCAUAUAAGGCCUGGGAGAGAUUGUUACAAUUGAGUCUGUGGCUGAUUAUUUUAAGCAGAUUGGUAUUAUUAAGACAAAUAAGAAAACUGGACAACCUAUGAUUAAUCUGUACACAGACAGAGAAACAGGCAAGCUGAAGGGAGAGACAACGGUAUCAUUUGAUGACCCAUCUUCUGCUAAAGCAGCUAUUGACUGGUUUGAUGGUAAAGAAUUUUCUGGGAAUCCUAUCAAGGUCUCAUUUGUUACUUGGCGAGCAGAUUUCAAUCGAGGUGGUGGCAAUGGUCGUGGAGGCCGACGGCGAGGAGGACCCAUGGGCCGUGGAGGCUAUGGAGGUGGUGGCAGAGGUGGCAGUGGUGGUGGUGGCCGGGGAGGAUUCCCCAGUGGAGGUGGUGGUGGUGGAGGACAGCAGCGAGCUGGGGACUGAAAGUGUCCUAAUCCUACAUGUGAGAACACGAACUUCUCUUGGAGGAAUGAAUGCAACCAGUGUAAGGACCCUAAACCAGAUGGCCCAGGAGGGGGACCAGGAGGCUCUCAUAUGGGAGGUAGCUAUGGAGAUGAUCGUCGUGGUGGCAGAGGAGGCUAUGAUCGGGGUGGCUACCGAGGCCGAGGCGGGGACCAUGGGGGCUUCUAAGGGGGCCGGGAUGGUGGAGACAGAGGUGGCUUUGGCCCCAGCAAGAUGGACUCCAGAGGUGACCACAGACAGGAUCGCAGGGAGAGGCCAUGCUAGCCUGACUACUGAGGUUCUGGAACAGCUUUUCUUCUAUACC